rnacentral:tRNA from 2 species
GCGGUGGCUCAAUUGGUAGAGUAGCGGUCUCCAAAACCGACGGUUGGGGGUUCGAGUCCCUCUCGCC